rnacentral:rRNA from 1 species
GAUGAACGCUGGCGGCGUGCUUAACACAUGCAAGUCGAACGGAAAGGCCCAAGCUUGCUUGGGUACUCGAGUGGCGAACGGGUGAGUAACACGUGGGUGAUCUGCCCUGCACUUCGGGAUAAGCCUGGGAAACUGGGUCUAAUACCGGAUAGGACCACAUUUUGGAUGGUGUGGUGGAAAGUUUUUCGGUGUGGGAUGAGCUCGCGGCCUAUCAGCUUGUUGGUGGGGUAAUGGCCUACCAAGGCGUCGACGGGUAGCCGGCCUGAGAGGGUGUACGGCCACAUUGGGACUGAGAUACGGCCCAGACUCCUACGGGAGGCAGCAGGGGGGAAUAUUGCACAAUGGGCGCAAGCCUGAUGCAGCGACGCCGCGUGGGGGAUGACGGCCUUCGGGUUGUAAACUCCUUUCGCUAGGGACGAAGCGUUUUUGUGACGGUACCUGGAGAAGAAGCACCGGCUAACUACGUG